CAACAGGAAUCUGUGGUAAUUUUUCAGUAUGUAUCAACACAGAAGGAAGUUACACAUGCCAAUGUCAGCAAGGAUUCCAGUCAAAGUCUGGAAAGGAUACUUUCACUUCUGUGGCCACUUCUGGAUGUGUAGAUGUUGAUGAGUGCAAUACAACAGGAAUCUGUGGUAAUUUUUCAGUAUGUAUCAACACAGAAGGAAGUUACACAUGCACAUGUCAGCAAGGAUUCCAGUCGAAGUCUGGAAAGGAUAAUUUCACUGAUGUGGCCACUUCUGGAUGUGUAGAUGUUGAUGAGUGUAAUACAAAAGGAAUAUGUGGUGAUUUUUCAGUAUGUAUCAACACAGAAGGACGUUACACAUGCACAUGUCAGCAAGGAUUCCAGUCAAAGUCUGGAAAGGAUAAUUUCACUGAUGUGGCCACUUCUGGAUGUGUAGAUGUUAAUGAGUG